AAUCUUCCGCAAUGGGCGAAAGCCUGACGGAGCGACGCCGCGUGAGUGAAGAAGUAUUUCGGUAUGUAAAGCUCUAUCAGCAGGGAAGAAAAUGACGGUACCUGAGUAAGAAGCCCCGGCUAACUACGUGCCUGCAGCCGCGGUAAUACGUAGGGGGCAAGCGUUAUCCGGAUUUACUGGGUGUAAAGGGAGCGUAGACGGUUUGGCAAGUCUGAAGUGAAAGGCAUGGGCUUAACCCGUGGACUGCUUUGGAAACUGCAGAACUGGAGUGCAGGAGAGGUAAGUGGAAUUCCUAGUGUAGCGGUGAAAUGCGUAGAUAUUAGGAGGAACACCAGUGGCGAAGGCGGCUUACUGGACUGUAACUGACGUUGAGGCUCGAAAGCGUGGGGAGCAAA
rnacentral:rRNA from 1 species